CGAAUGCUGACAUAAGUAACGAUAAAGCGGGUGAAAAGCCCGCUCGCCGGAAGACCAAGGGUUCCUGUCCAACGUUAAUCGGGGCAGGGUGAGUCGACCCCUAAGGCGAGGCCGAAAGGCGUAGUCGAUGGGAAACAGGUUAAUAUUCCUGUACUUGGUGUUACUGCGAAGGGGGGACGGAGAAGGCUAUGUUGGCCGGGCGACGGUUGUCCCGGUUUAAGCGUGUAGGCUGGUUUUCCAGGCAAAUCCGGAAAAUCAAGGCUGAGGCGUGAUGACGAGGCACUACGGUGCUGAAGCAACAAAUGCCCUGCUUCCAGGAAAAGCCUCUAAGCAUCAGGUAACAUCAAAUCGUACCCCAAACCGACACAGGUGGUCAGGUAGAGAAUACCAAGGCGCUUGAGAGAACUCGGGUGAAGGAACUAGGCAAAAUGGUGCCGUAACUUCGGGAGAAGGCACGCUGAUAUGUAGGUGAAGUCCCUCGCGGAUGGAGCUGAAAUCAGUCGAAGAUACCAGCUGGCUGCAACUGUUUAUUAAAAACACAGCACUGUGCAAACACGAAAGUGGACGUAUACGGUGUGACGCCUGCCCGGUGCCGGAAGGUUAAUUGAUGGGGUCAGCGCAAGCGAAGCUCUUGAUCGAAGCCCCGGUAAACGGCGGCCGUAACUAUAACGGUCCUAAGGUAGCGAAAUUCCUUGUCGGGUAAGUUCCGACCUGCACGAAUGGCGUAAUGAUGGCCAGGCUGUCUCCACCCGAGACUCAGUGAAAUUGAACUCGCUGUGAAGAUGCAGUGUACCCGCGGCAAGACGGAAAGACCCCGUGAACCUUUACUAUAGCUUGACACUGAACAUUGAGCCUUGAUGUGUAGGAUAGGUGGGAGGCUUUGAAGUGUGGACGCCAGUCUGCAUGGAGCCGACCUUGAAAUACCACCCUUUAAUGUUUGAUGUUCUAACGUGGACCCGUGAUCCGGGUUGCGGACAGUGUCUGGUGGGUAGUUUGACUGGGGCGGUCUCCUCCUAAAGAGUAACGGAGGAGCACGAAGGUUGGCUAAUCCUGGUCGGACAUCAGGAGGUUAGUGCAAUGGCAUAAGCCAGCUUGACUGCGAGCGUGACGGCGCGAGCAGGUGCGAAAGCAGGUCAUAGUGAUCCGGUGGUUCUGAAUGGAAGGGCCAUCGCUCAACGGAUAAAAGGUACUCCGGGGAUAACAGGCUGAUACCGCCCAAGAGUUCAUAUCGACGGCGGUGUUUGGCACCUCGAUGUCGGCUCAUCACAUCCUGGGGCUGAAGUAGGUCCCAAGGGUAUGGCUGUUCGCCAUUUAAAGUGGUACGCGAGCUGGGUUUAGAACGUCGUGAGACAGUUCGGUCCCUAUCUGCCGUGGGCGCUGGAGAACUGAGGGGGGCUGCUCCUAGUACGAGAGGACCGGAGUGGACGCAUCACUGGUGUUCGGGUUGUCAUGCCAAUGGCACUGCCCGGUAGCUAAAUGCGGAAGAGAUAAGUGCUGAAAGCAUCUAAGCACGAAACUUGCCCCGAGAUGAGUUCUCCCUGACCCUUUAAGGGUCCUGAAGG
rnacentral:rRNA from 1 species